rnacentral:rRNA from 1 species
UACGUAGGGUGCGAGCGUUGUCCGGAAUUACUGGGCGUAAAGAGCUCGUAGGUGGUUUGUCGCGUUGUUCGUGAAAACUCACAGCUUAACUGUGGGCGUGCGGGCGAUACGGGCAGACUGGAGUACUGCAGGGGAGACUGGAAUUCCUGGUGUAGCGGUGGAAUGCGCAGAUAUCAGGAGGAACACCGGCGGCGAAGGCGGGUCUCUGGGCAGUAACUGACGCUGAGGAGCGAAAGCGUGGGGAGCGAACAGG